AGGUCGUGCAUAUAUUUAGAUUAACAUGACAAUAUUUCAAUAACAGGGUGAAGGCUCGGAGCUCUUUGAAACACUUUUUUUUUCUUUCAAGAAACAAAAAAUGAAUCAGAAAAUUAAACAAUAACCAGCACAAUUCCAUUUUUGUUGGCCAACAUGGCUUCAUUAAAAAUAAAGUAUAGCCUACUGAUUGCAUAUAUCAUUACAAAAAAUAUGCAGAGGUGAAAUGCAUAUAAAAUUAAAGUCCAAUGUAUCGGUAAUAAUAUAUAAUACGGUAACUUGGCAAGUUCGUUAACUGUUCUCCAUAAGCAUCAUUUCAAAUUAAAGUAUCAAUAAAAUAUCUAGUUUGCCCCCCGCCCUCAAUUUGUUAAUUUGCUGUCUACAUGACAUUCCUUUAAUACAAAAAAAGCCAACCUAAAAACAGGACGAACAAACGAUUGUUGAAUUAAGUGUUCAUUCAAGUCACUCCAUUUCAGCAGUUCCCCUUAUCACCACACGGUGGCACUCUUUAGCAAAACAAGGACAAUAAGGCAGUGAGAAUUUUGCGAUUUAUAUACUGUGUCAACACACGGUGAUAGAAAUAAUACAAUGGUGCUGUUAUUUCAUGCUGCAGUAUGAAUGGAAGUACCCAUGUAAUAUUCCGUGUUAAUGGUUUCUGGUAGUUUCGCAAACACCCUUGCAAAAGGGGAGUUGUCAGCCAAUAAGAAUGCAACACAACCUGUUUAGCUCUAUUUCACUUUUGUACUUUUGUUUGUCGUCGCUCCUUGACAAAAAGAGCAAUCAAACGCGACUCGCAAAAGGAAAGACAUGCAAAAGUCACAGAGGAUUUAAGAGGACAUUGCAGACUUCAAUCAUGCUCAAGGUCACCCGGUGAUGGGCGGCUCCUCUUCCAAGGGUUUCUUGGUCCGGCAGAAGAGGUCCCCCAUUAGGCAAGCUCUGGAUCCGUUCAAGAGGGCCAUGCGGGUGAGGAGGCGCAAGAAGAUGAUGAAGCCGCUGUACGAUUUAAAUCCACGGAGGGUCACGUCAGACCGCAACAGAGGCUCCCUACCAGCGUGGUGGAAAAAACUGCCCAGAAGCCACAGUGGCAGAGAGCCCAUGCAGGAGGGAAGGAAGCGAUCGGGAAUGACACAUGAAAGGAGGAAGAAUUAAGCACAAACCCCAACAAGGAAAUGAGAGACGCCUCGUGAUGGACCUACACAAAAGGAUAUGUGACAUCACUGAAGGGAAACAUAUUUAAUGACAUCACCGUCACUCAUAUAUAUAUUAAAAAAAAACAAACAAAAAAAACAAUGAUCCCCAUCAGUAUGUGGAAGUGGACUAAAUGCUGUACUGUUCGCACUUCUCAAAAGUGUCAGAAAUACUUGGAAGGACACCAACG